rnacentral:rRNA from 1 species
UACAGAGAGUGCAAACGUUGUUCGGAAUCACUGGGCUUAAAGCGCACGUAGGCGGCAUCGUAAGUGUCGGGUGAAAUCCCACGGCUCACCCGUGGAACUGCCCGGCAGACUGCGAUGCUCGAGUGUGGUAGGGGAAAGCGGAACUCCUGGUGGAGCGGUGAAAUGCGUAGAUAUCAGGAGGAACACCGGUGGCGAAGGCGGCUUUCUGGUCCACAACUGACGCUGAGGUGCGAAAGCUAGGGGAGCAAACGGG